rnacentral:rRNA from 1 species
CCUACGGGUGGCUGCAGUGGGGAAUAUUGCACAAUGGGGGAAACCCUGAUGCAGCAACGCCGCGUGAAGGAAGACGGUUUUCGGAUUGUAAACUUCUAUCAAUAGGGAAGAAAGAAAUGACGGUACCUAAUUAGAACGCCCGGCCAACUACGUGCCAGCAGCCGCCGGAAUUCGUAGGGGGCAAGCGUUACUCGGAAUUACUGGGUGUAAAGGGAGAGUUGGGGGCAAGGUAAGCGAUAUGUGAAAGCCUUAAGCUUAACUAAAGGAUUGCAUAACGAACUAUCUAGCUAGAGUACAGGAGAGGAAAGCGGAAUUCCUAGUGUAGCGGUGAAAUGCGUAGAUAUUAGGAAGAACACCAGUGGCGAAGGCGGCUUUCUGGACUGAAACUGACGCUGAGGCUCGAAAGCGUGGGGAGCGAACAGGAUUAGAUACCCGUGUAGUC